rnacentral:rRNA from 1 species
UGGGGAAUAUUGCGCAAUGGGCGAAAGCCUGACGCAGCCAUGCCGCGUGUGUGAAGAAGGCCUUCGGGUUGUAAAGCACUUUCAAUUGGGAGGAAAGGUUCACGGUUAAUAACCGUGAGCUGUGACGUUACCUUUAGAAGAAGCACCGGCUAACUCCGUGCCAGCAGCCGCGGUAAUACGGAGGGUGCGAGCGUUAAUCGGAAUUACUGGGCGUAAAGCGCGCGUAGGUGGUCUGUUAAGUCGGAUGUGAAAGCCCCGGGCUCAACCUGGGAACUGCAUCCGAUACUGGCAGACUAGAGUGCGGGAGAGGGAGGUAGAAUUCCACGUGUAGCGGUGAAAUGCGUAGAUAUGUGGAGGAAUACCAGUGGCGAAGGCGGCCUCCUGGCUCGACACUGACACUGAGGUGCGAAAGCGUGGGGAGCAAACAGG